rnacentral:lncRNA from 1 species
UGGAAAAAACUUGCUUUUAAUAUUUUAAACUCUUCAAAACUCCUCUUCUUUCAAGUUUUCUUGUGAGACUUUCCGAUAAUUUCGUGAGAGUUUAUUGUUGGUCGAAAAUUUUAUGAUGGUUGGUUACUUUUUCCUUCCAACCCACGACGUCUCGAUUUCAUACUUAUGUAUAGGUAUCGUUCUUUAUUCCAAAUACUACAUUUUUUUUUCUUUCUUUAUGCUACCAUUUGUUUUAUGGAUUCUCCAUGUUCUCGGGUUGUUUUUUACUCUAGGGGUUCUUGCUCCUCUGAAUAUCCCGGUGGUUUUAGAGGUGUUGCCUCCAGCGUCUCCAUAGGAUCGACUAGUGCCACCUUUGAUGAUGGUGACUUUGCCAUUUCUCCACCUUUUCUCCUAUUUUUGUCCCUUCCCAAAACUUUGAAAGGGACUAUGUGGAGGGAUUUGGAUUGAGUGCAAUCAGUACAUCUUGAUCGAAUGUCAUUGAUUGCAGUCAAACCCUGCCGACUAGUGGCGGAUGGAGAGGGGGGGCCUUUGGAAGCCAUGAUCCCCCCCCCCCCCUAUAUUUUUAAUAAAAAAAUUUAUAUACUAUAAUGAGACUAUAUUAGAAUGUUUCAUAAAAUAUAUAUUAGGUUAUGGCCCCCUCAAUUAAUUUAAUUCAAAUGUUCACCAUAAUAUUAGAUUAUUUGACAACUAAUAUCAUUAGUUUUAUAUAUUAUAUUAUUUUAAAUUAUCUCAUAUGGUCCUUUCCACAACAUAUUUUAAAUGGAAUGAAACACAAUGAUAUAGCUUUGCAAAAUAAAAUACUAUUUUAAAGCAAAAAAUGAGCAAAUUAAAACCUAAAAUAAAAAUAGGGGGAUAAAAUAUAAUUUACUCCUUAAUGGAUUCUAUUCUCCUGUGACAAAAAACUCAUGUCUUUCACACUCGUACAAAAGUUCUUCUAUAUAGUCAGUCGUCGUUCUCCCUUUAUAUUAACCCUUCGAUUCUCAAGAUAAAACAGUCAUGGUGAUUCGGAGUUCAUCCGAGAGGUAACUAAAGUUUGGCAAAAAAUUGUUCUGCUCAAGAAUCAAACUCGGGUUAUCCUGAAUAAUUUGACAUUUACUAAAAACACAUUUAACCCUAGAACAUAUACAUUAUUAGUUUUCUCUUUUUAUACAAGGGUGUUUUUGUUUUCUUUUCCUACUUAAUGUUUUUUUUCUCUAUUAUUAAGUCAAUACUUGUAUGAUAACUGUACAUACCUAUUAAUGUCUCUCAUACUAAUUAAAUAUAGUUAUAAAUUUCUUUAAAAAACAAGAAAAUAUUAGUUUAUGCCUUUAGGGUUUCUUAUACAUCUUUUGUAUUUAAAAAAUUAUUUUAAAUCAAAUUAUGUUCCUUAUUUGCUAAAAAGAAUGUCUCUUGUAUUCGACCUCCCUAACUUUAAAUUCCUGGCUCCGUCCAUGCUCCCGACUACACACAAACUGAGUGGUGUUAUCUCCUCGACAGGCGCUCAUAGAUUGUGAGGUUUGAAGGCAACACUUGAGGGAUACUUAUCUUCCUCAGGAUGGAUUAUGAGAGAAAUGUUGAAUGGGCUCAUGUUCCUCUUUACGUCGAAAUAAAAUGCAUAAAUACUUGGUUUUAUCCAAGGUAAGCCUCAAAACACAUACAUCAAAUUCUCACUAUUUGGUUCAUAAAGUCAUACAACAAUUUUAUUUUAUUUUUUGGUCAAGUUUUGUUGUCAUACAACAAUAUUUUAAUUGUAACAUGUUGAAUAUAAACACAUAAAACUUAAUUAUCUACAAACACAAUAUAAUUGGCAUAGACUAUGAUACUAAUUGUUGAAAUUUCUUUAGGCUCCAAGAAGAACAAUAUCAAGUUGAUACUAAGAAUCUUCAAUUUUAUUACCAAUCAACAAAAUUCAUCUCUACAAAAUCCAAAAAAUAUGGCAAUGAUAGUUUAUAUCAAUCUAUUUGACGCCUCUCUCUCUUAGACUUUGCUCUCUCCAUCUUCAACAUUUCUAGCAAGAAAUCACUCCAUGUAUCUAUAGGCCCUGGCAAACACCAAUGAACACAAUCAUUAUACAAUGUCACAUUUUCUUGAGGUAAAUGUCCAUACCUACUUGGAUGACCAUCUGGUCUCAAUAACAUAGCUUGAGUUGUAUCAAGCAACCUAAAUUUCAAACCAUUUCUCUUGGCCUUCUUUUGAGAAAUUUUGUACUCUUCCAAUUGGAUCAUAUAUAACUCCAUAUUGGUCCCUUCUAACCUUGCCUCAUUACUCUUAAAUGGCUUAGUCCUUAAACAAUUCCCACCUUGGUUCCAUAUACCAUUCUCAAAAUGUGAUGGUGCAAAUGUCCUAAGAAAUGUCACACCCUUAAAAUUUUCUAAGCUAUUUAAGGCUCUAAAUGCAGUCCUAAAAGCUUUUCUAUAGCCAUAAUACAUUGUUAAAUCAGUGACAUUUUCUAAGAGACAAUAAUGACAUCCAACAAUUUUUCCUUUCUCAUAGAAUACCAUUGGCUUGUAGAACCAAUGUCCUCCAUUGAUUAUGACAUAGUCAAAAUCUUCAAUUUGUGAUGUCCAUUUUUCAUCAAAUUCAUCUAGGUAAAGAUUGUAGAGACCAGUGUGGGUUGGACCAUCUGAAUUUUCUCUUUGAGCUUUGACAAGAAAGGGGGUCCAAUAAGCAGCCAUGGUGAAAUUGUAACUUGGGUAUUUCCAUCUCAUGAAAUAGUCAUCUUUUGUGUAUGAUACAUCUAUAGGCCAUUCCACCUAGAAAAAGUUAAAUGGUCUAAGAUUUAGAAAAUUAUUUAUCAAUAAAAAAAUAUAAAAACAUAGAAGCACGCACAAUUUUAAAUAAGGGAAAUGUUAAUGAGUGCUUAUGGGGCACUCUUUAAACAUCUUUAAUAGUAGUAGUAAGUUUUUAUAAAAAUCAGUGUAAUUAAUGCAUUGAAAUUUAUAACAUUUGACUUUUUUAAGGAAUACUUUCUAAAUUUAGAAUAUUUAAAGAGUGUCCUAGAUACAUUACCCUUUUAAUAAAAUGAAGUUAAAGAUGAAACUAUGCAAUAAGAGUUUUUCUUGCCUAUAAAGUCUCAAAUAAUUCAGAGGGUCAUGGGUCUUUCAUCUUUGGAUUGUAUUCUAGUGGAAAUUAUUCAAUAUUCGCAUGAAAACAAGAAGUUAAGCCCAGAGGAAAUAAUUAAAUUAGUUGGAUUGUCACACCACAUGUUAGCAUCAUGCUGUUAUUGUACCUUGUCAUUGGUUAGAUAUUGAAAACUAUUUCAUUGUCAACUUAACCUUUUGCAUUUAGUAAAAAAAAAAAAAAAAGGAAAUUUUGUCUUGGUUUGAGAUCGGAAUGUCAAGAAUCGAACCUACAACAACUAGUUCAAAAUCCGACCUAUGCAUAUAUUAUACAUUGUCCCUACCAACUGAGCUAAGUUCACGGUGACAGCCGAUUAAAAACUUAAGUGCAAUCAUUUUGUUAUAGUAUAAAAUAGUUUUAUCAAAAACUGAUUUAAUUGGCUAAAUGGACUUGUGUUUUUCUGACUAAAGUUUGACUAGUGAGUAGUGAGUAUAUUUUAUGAGUUGGAGGCUUCAACUUUGGAUACACUAAUUAAUUAUAAACACUAUAUUUACAAGUAACUCGAAAAUAAAGAAAACCAAGAACUGAAUUUAAUUAAUAAAAUAAAUAAAAAGUGACUUGAGACUGUGUUCUUGUGGCCUGGUUAGGGACAUGGAAUGUGAUUGCCAGAGUUUACAUCUCGUGCUAAGAUUCCACUUCUUGUGGCAUGCUUUGCUUAAUUACUGAGAUAAUUUAUGUGGUUGGACAGAUUUUGUUAUAUUUGUUUUAUGUUUAUAUAAUAUUUUAUGAAUAAGUUUGUGAAAACUAUAGUUUUAAACAUGUAAAGUCUAAAUAAAAGAUUGAGUCAAAAAAAUGAUUUUUUUUUUAAUAUCGUUUUAUUUUAUAUCUUGCUAUUAUAUUUGAGAAAUUUACUAGUAACAGGUUUUUUAAAGUCAAAUUUAUUUAUUUAUUUUUUAAAAAAACUCGAUAUUCGGUGCAAGGAUCUACUAAUUCGAGAGAACAAGUCCUACCGUCCACUUUGGGAGGGUUCGUUUAAAGUCAGAGCAUUAGCAAAACUCUAUAUGGACUUGCCCGUCAGAAUUGACAUUAGAGGGAAUCUGAAACUUUGAAAUAAACACACUCCAAGAUCCGAAACCAACCAUUAUAUCAACCCUAAAUAGGUUAAAGUCAAAUUUAUUUUAUAGAUGGACUGAAGCACAUAAAUGGACUUGUCAUCUGAGAGAAAACCGACAUUUAGAGUAAAAGUCUACGCCAGUAUUUUUUUUUUGUGAAUAGACGAAAUGGCAAAGUCAUUGUAAACUCACACACACAAUUGGAGGUACCGGGGUUCGAACCCCGAUCAUAGAAUCCGGCCUAACAAUUUCGGCAUUUUACCAAUUGAGCUAGAACUUGUUGAUUCUAUUCCAAUAUUUAUUUUAGGGAAAAGGUCUAUUCUAAUUAUUAUCUGUAUUAAAUGAGUCCUGAGAUUGAGGUUUAUUUGUCAAAUAAUAAAUGUGCUAUUAUUUAACCUUCCGUGUUUUAGUGGGUAAGAGACAUUUGCGAAGUUCGACAUGGAGGUAAGUAAAACCUGACCGAAAACUGUUUUAUAUAAUUUGUUAUUUUGUGGAGUUCAUUUGACUAAGUUCUACUUUUUAAUUAAAGUAGAGAGGUAGUUGGGUCAAUGUCAUCUCUAUUUCUUAAAAGGAAUUGACUAUGCACAAAUUAGAGAUUGGUGCAGUCAAGUUAUGGCACUCUAUUUUUUCAAUAAAAUUUGAGAACUUUAUUUAGAGAUAGAUACAUGCAAAAAAAAGUUUCAAAAAGUUAAAUAGUCAAAAGUAUUAAAUAUAUUUGAUUUUUUGUUUACAUUUAAAACAAAAGAAAAUCAUUUUUUUAUGAUAGUCGGACUCACUUGAUGUUGAAGCCGGAUUUUUACUUUUUGUGGUAUGUAUCUCUCAAAAUGAAGAGAUCUCAACUUUAUGCAAUUUAUUAUUAAAAGUAUUUUAAUAAAGGGUAUCAUUUUUUUAAAAAAAAAAAUUAAAUUAAAUUAGUCCACCUAAAUUAACAUGGAAGAGAAUCGAACAUGAUAACUCGAAGAGUAGUAUACUUCCAGUUAAUAUCACCGGAGUAACCCAAGUGGAUUUAAUAAAGGGUAUCAUUAAUCUCACUUGUUUAUGUGUUUCUCCUAAAUGAAACCUUCCGUUUCUUUUGACAAAUGACUAGUCUCAUGAAUUGUGGUAUCAUUGAUGACUACACUACUUCAUCAAUCUAUAAGCUUGAUCAAGGAGCACAAUGAUAGAUUUUUUUAUCAAUGUGAAUUAAAGCCUCUAUGAAUUGUCAUUGAAGCAAAUAGUGUAUCAUUGAUUGAUGGUAUUUUCGGUUCAAAAGUUUGUGUAAAUAAAAAAAUGAUACAAUCACACACCACAUGCCAAAUCACUUAUCACCAAAGCAACUAUAAUUAACAUAGAUAUCAAAAAAGGGACAAAAGCAAAUGAUAAAAAAUGAUGAUUAAUUUUUUUUAAAUAAAAUUUGCAUCAAAAUAGAAGAAGUGUAGAAGUGAAACUUACCCUUGAUAGAAGACAAAUCAAUGACUGCAUGUGAUUUCUACCAACAGAAUCUCCAACAAAAGCCAUAGAUUUUCCUCUAACAAUUUCAAGAAAUUGAAAAGGAUUGAAAAUUGGUAGUUCACACUCAUUUGGCUUCCAUCUCCACUUCAUAAACUCAGAAUCUGGCCUACCAUAUUUCAUGCAAUUUUGAUGCUCAUGAAUUGCCCAACAUGUUUUGUUUGUAUAAUAUGGUCCUUUUGGAUUUGGCACCCACUCACCACUAAAAAUGUCACAAUUUUUCAAAGAUGUUGAAGGUAAAUUUUCUUUCUCAAUUGAAUCAACAUUUGAAGAGUUUGGUUGUUUAGACUUGCUCAUCAUCAAGAGAAAUGAUGAACCAAACAAAGGAUAAGACAAAGGGGUGACAAGAACUAUGAUUAUGACAAAUAUUGCUAAUAAAAUUAUUUUUGGUAACAUUUGUUUUUUGUUAUUGUUUCCAUAGAGAUGCUCUUUCUCUUGGAACUUCAUUUUUGGAAGGGUUAUGGAGAAAAAGAGAAAACAAGAGAAAGG